CUUGCUACUCUGCCGGCGAGCGGCGGACGGGUGAGUAAAGUCUGGGRAUCUGGCUUAUGGAGGGGGAUAACCAUUGGAAACGGUGGCUAAUACCGCAUGAUGUCGCAAGACCAAAGUGGGGGACCUUARGGCCUCACGCCAUGAGAUGAACCCAGAUGAGAUUAGCUAGUAGGUGCGGUAAUGGCGUACCUAGGCGACGAUCUCUAGCUGGUCUGAGAGGAUGACCAGCCACACUGGAACUGAGAGACGGUCCAGACUCCUACGGGAGGCAGCAGUGGGGAAUAUUGCACAAUGGGCGGAAGCCUGAUGCAGCCAUGCCGCGUGUGUGAAGAAGGCCUUAGGGUUGUAAAGCACUUUCAGCGGGGAGGAAGGCGGUAAGAGUAAUAUGCUUAUCRAUUGACGUUACCCGCAAAAGAAGCACCGGCUAACUCCGUGCCAGCAGCCGCGGUAAUACGGAGGGUGCGAGCGUUAAUCGGAAUAACUGGGCGUAAAGRGCAUGUAGGCGGUAAGUUAAGUCAGAUGUGAAAUCCCCGAGCUUAACUUGGGAACGGCAUUUGAGACUGGCUGGCUAGAGUUUUGUAGAGGGGGGUAGAAUUCCAGGUGUAGCGGUGAAAUGCGUAGAGAUCUGGAGGAAUACCGGUGGCGAAGGCGGCCCCCUGGACAAGGACUGACGCUGAGGUGCGAAAGCGUGGGUAGCAAACAGGAUUAGAUACCCUGGUAGUCCACGCUGUAAACGAUGUCGAUUU
rnacentral:rRNA from 1 species